rnacentral:rRNA from 1 species
ACAGGGAUUCCCCUAGUAACGGCGAGUGAAGCGGGAACAGCUCAAAUUUGAAAUCUGGCCCUUGGGUCCGAGUUGUAAUUUGUAGAGGAUGCUUUUGGUGCGGUGCCUUCCGAGUUCCCUGGAACGGGACGCCUUAGAGGGUGAGAGCCCCGUACGGUUGGACGCCUAGCCUCUGUAAAGCUCCUUCGACGAGUCGAGUAGUUUGGGAAUGCUGCUCUAAAUGGGAGGUAUAUUUCUUCUAAAGCUAAAUACUGGCCAGAGACCGAUAGCGCACAAGUAGAGUGAUCGAAAGAUGAAAAGCACUUUGAAAAGAGGGUUAAAUAGCACGUGAAAUUGUUGAAAGGGAAGCGUUUAUCACCAGACUUUUUCUGGGGGGAUCAUCCGGUGUUCUCACCGGUGCACUUCCCCCAGUUGAGGCCAGCAUCGGUUUUCGGAGGGGGAUAAAAGCUUCGGGAAUGUGACUCCCUCGGGAGUGUUAUAGCCCGUUGCAUAAUACCCUUCUGGGGACCGAGGUUCGCGCAUCUGCAAGGAUGCUGGCAUAAUGGUGAUCAACGACCCGUCUUGAAACACGGACCAAGGAGUCGAACAUUUAUGCGAGUGUUUGGGUGUCAAACCCUCACGCGUAAUGAAAGUGAACGGAGGUGAGAGCCCUUACGGGUGCAUCAUCGACCGAUCCUGAUGUCUUCGGAUGGAUUUGAGUAAGAGCAUAACUGUUCGGACCCGAAAGAUGGUGAACUAUGCGUGGAUAGGGUGAAGCCAGGAGAAAUCCUGGUGGAGGCUCGCAGCGGUUCUGACGUGCAAAUCGAUCGUCAAAUCUGCGCAUGGGGGCGAAAGACUAAUCGAACCAUCUA